UAGCAGUUAUCAAAGGACAUGAAUCCUCUAAGGUAUUGCAAUCUUCCUGUUCCGCUAUCUUUCACCAGGUGAACAAUGUCAUUGACAAAGGGAAGGUGUCCGUUGAGGGAAAAGAUAUCCCGGUUGAUGUAUUUCUUGGAGGAGAAUAUAAGUUUCUUCUUCUUGUACUUGGGAUGAAGUCUGCCUCUUCAAACUCUUCAGAUUUGACAUGACAAAAACUCAAAGUAAUUAUUGGGAAGACCACAUUGUAAGGAAAAUUGA